GAUCCUGGCUCAGAUUGAACGCUGGCGGCAGGCCUAACACAUGCAAGUCGAACGGUAACAGGAAGAAGCUUGCUUCUUUGCUGACGAGUGGCGGACGGGUGAGUAAUGUCUGGGAAACUGCCUGAUGGAGGGGGAUAACUACUGGAAACGGUAGCUAAUACCGCAUAACGUCGCAAGACCAAAGAGGGGGGACCUUCGGGCCUCUUGCCAUCGGAUGUGCCCAGAUGGGAUUAGCUAGUUGGUGAGG
rnacentral:rRNA from 1 species